AUACGAAGGGGGCUAGCGUUGUUCGGAUUUACUGGGCGUUAAAGCGCACGUAGGCGGACUUUUAAGUCAGGGGUGAAAUCCCGGGGCUCAACCCCGGAACUGCCUUUGAUACUGGAAGUCUUGAGUAUGGAAGAGGUAAGUGGAAUUGCGAGUGUAGAGGUGAAAUUCGUAGAUAUUCGCAGGAACACCAGUGGCGAAGGCGGCUUACUGGUCCAUUACUGACGCUGAGGUGCGAAAGCGUGGGGAGC
rnacentral:rRNA from 1 species